GGAGAGGUGCCCGAGCGGCCGAAGGGGCUCGCCUGGAAAGCGAGUGUACCGUUCACGCGGUACCGUGGGUUCGAAUCCCACCCUCUCCG
rnacentral:tRNA from 2 species